UCCAACCCCUGUGACAUACCACUUGUUGCCUCGGCGGAUCAGCCCGCUCCCGGUAAAACGGGACGGCCCGCCAGAGGACCCCUAAACUCUGUUUCUAUAUGUAACUUCUGAGUAAAACCAUAAAUAAAUCAAAACUUUCAACAACGGAUCUCUUGGUUCUGGCAUCGAUGAAGAACGCAGCAAAGGAUCAUUCCGAGGUUUCGCUCCCACCCCUGAUAACUUACACUUGUUGCCUGG
rnacentral:misc_RNA from 1 species